GAUGAACGCUGGCGGCGCGCUUAACACAUGCAAGUCGAACGGUGAACGAGGGAGCUUGCUCCCUCCGGAUCAGUGGCGAACGGGUGAGUAACACGUGAGCAAUCUGCCCUGGACUCUGGGAUAAGCGUUGGAAACGACGUCUAAUACCGGAUACGAGGCGUGGGGGCAUCCCCAACGCCUGGAAAGAACUUCGGUCCAGGAUGAGCUCGCGGCCUAUCAGCUUGUUGGUGAGGUAACGGCUCACCAAGGCGACGACGGGUAGCCGGCCUGAGAGGGUGACCGGCCACACUGGGACUGGGACACGGCCCAGACUCCUACGGGAGGCAGCAGUGGGGAAUAUUGCACAAUGGGCGCAAGCCUGAUGCAGCAACGCCGCGUGAGGGACGACGGCCUUCGGGUUGUAAACCUCUUUUGGCAGGGAAGAAGCGAAAGUGACGGUACCUGCAGAAAAAGCACCGGCUAACUACGUGCCAGCCGCCGCCGUAAUAC
rnacentral:rRNA from 1 species